UACGUAGGGGGCAAGCGUUGUCCGGAAUCAUUGGGCGUAAAGCGCGCGUAGGCGGCCCGGUAAGUCCGUUGUGAAAGUCAAAGGCUCAACCUUUGAAUGCCGAUGGAUACUGCCGGGCUAGAGUCCGGAAGAGGCGAGUGGAAUUCCUGGUGUAGCGGUGGAAUGCGCAGAUAUCAGGAGGAACACCGAUAGCGAAGGCAGCUCGCUGGGACGGUACUGACGCUGAGGCGCGAAAGCGUGGGAGCGAACAGG
rnacentral:rRNA from 1 species